UGAAAACAUAAAUGAUGUGUUGUAGCCUCAAAGCUUCAUUGUUGGAGAAACGAGAUUUCAGAGCAUUCCCUGAAGGCACCAUCGGGAACACCAACGGUUUUUUCCCCAGUUUGUCUGUUUAAACCGGGUUCAAAGUACCGUUUCGAGCAGUAAUUUACCACAAACAACGUGUAUAAAAGCGAUAAAGAGAGUUUAAAGAACAAGAGGAGAACAUGGCGGAAAUGAUCAGCGCUGAGGAGCAAGAGAGGUCGUUAUUUUUGGUUCAAAUUCGGUAUUUGGAGGAGGAGCUUGAGAGAUUUAAGCUGGCAAGCGAAGAGCUGGACAAGCAGAACCAAGAGCUGAUCUCAAAUUACAACCAGCUGGAGAAGGACAAGAGGGACAAGACCGAGCGUUUGAAACGCUUUGUGGCGGCGAAAGAGAAGCGCAUGGAUGAGCUGAGCGAGGAGCUGCAGACGCGGCUCCUGCUGGGGAAACGCAGCCGAGAGACGCUGAAGCAGGAGCACAGCAUCACGAAGCAGCAGCUGCAGGAGCAGAUAGACGAGGUUCAGGCAGAGAUAGAGCUGCAGACUGUGACUCUGGAGGAGAACGAGGAGCGCAUCAUGGAGCUGAGGCCUCAUGUGCCUAACAUAGAAUCAGUAGAGGAGGAGCUUCUGAAGAAGAAAGCUGAGCACGACGCUUUUAUUACCCAGCUGAAGAGGAACUCAGAGCUGGCGUGUGAAACGCUGAUCCAGCACUUCCAGGACUACAAGGAGCACACGGAGAACUGUGAAGCCAACAAGCUGCUGGCGACGGCCCGAGCGCUGCACCUGGAGCAGACCGAGCUCGCCACCUUCCUGGUGAGCGAGCAGGGGAUUCUGAAGGAGGAGAUCGCUGCCGUGAAGAAGAAACAGAAAAACAUUUCCUGCACCGGCCGGGGGCUGUGCAGGAAACUCACCUAUCUGAGCCACCUGAGAAACUUCAACGAGCAGGAUGUGAAGCUUCUUAAGAAGACGUUCCUGGAGCUCCAUCAGGAAAAAGAAGAAAGCAUCAAGAACCAGGAAGCCAGUCUGACUGAGACUGAAGCUCUCAGCCAGCAGGUCAACAAAGUGCAUCAGGACUUCCAGCAGAGAGUGGGCGACAUGCAGCGGCUGGAGAAGGAGCUGGAGAAGGAGACGAUCAGGAGGAGGCAGCUGGAGGGAGUGAAGGACGAAGCAAAGGUCAUCCUGAAGCACAUCCUGGAGGGUAAGGAUGACAUGUCUGUGGCUCAGUGGAAGAUCCAGAGGCUGGUGGAGAUCCUGGACCGAGCAGCGCCGCAGAACCCCGAGCCGACCGCCAGCAGCUUCCGUAAUAACCCCAGAGGAGUCCGGAAACGGCACUCCUGUUACCCAUUCAGUUCCAGAAAUAUGAACCCGUCUGGUUCCGACCCGUCUGGCUCCGUCUGACCCGACUGACCCGACUCCUCUGCAGUCACAGACUGGUACCGGCUCCGCCGGGCCGUAAGCAGGAACGGUUUAACGAGUCGCAGAAAUCACUGGAAGUCCUGCAGAGACAGUCUGACCCAGUACAGCCAGUACCACCAGCUGCAGCAGCCCAGUCCCACAGAUCGUCUUCAGGGUUCUGACCAUGAACGAACUAAUGAGAGCGUCUGUUAAUCAGGUGGGAAACAUUCUCCGUCAUUAACCUUAAGCCCCUCUCUGGGCGCUCCAGGCUGCAACAACAUGAUCUUCCCCUUCAUAAUGUCUCCAACAAAAACCUCUAAUUACUUCUGUAAACUGGUCAUGAAAGGCAGCACAGUCUGCACACAGAGGCCCGUCA